rnacentral:lncRNA from 1 species
GUAAGAUUGCACAACCAGCUGGAGGACAGCCCUUUGGGACAUGGGAGAGCACAUGCUCCUGGGCCAGGCCUGGGGCCACUGGUCCCUGAGCAAGUCUGCCAGCCUUCUGAGCAGAGCUGUCCCUGGCUUGGGGGCCUCUCCAGUCUGGCUGUUCCCCCAUGGGGGAGACUUGCCCCUCCAUAGAGAAGCUCUAUAACGUCCUGCCGCGCACUGUGCAGGUUGGUGUCAAGGGGCAGGGAUUUGGUUCCUGCAUACACAAGCUAGGAGGUGGUUUACUACAGAGGGAGCUGGGUGGAGAAUAAGCCCUUUAUAUCUCUGUAGGGAGUCAGUGGGAAGGAGAGUGGUAUGGAGACUGAGCUGCCUCAGUUUGAAUCCCGCCUGGCAGGUCACCAGGCAAAUGAUGGCUGGGUCUGUUGGCAGAUGCGGUGCUCAUCUUCAGCUCCCUCCAAGCAGUGUGUAUUAUACAGUCAAGGUCAUGAUCUCAAAGUGUCAAAUGUCCUGGAAAGAGGUUCAGAAGACGUCUCUGAAAAGAGAGGAUCAGAAGACUUGUUUCUGCUCCUAGCUAGUCACCCAGAGUUGGUCUUUGAAUAUGGACCACUGGACCCAAGAAAGCUGCUGGAUCAUUUAUCAGACAGGUUUUGAAACCAAGAAAGAGGACAUCAUCUGUCUGAGAAGUUAUCAUCUCACUGCCCAUUCUUCCCUACCCCAUCCCUGCCCAACAUGAACACAUUUCAAUCUAAACCUG